UACAGAGGGUGCGAGUGUUAAUCGGAAUUACUGGGCGUAAAGCGCACGUAGUCGGCUUUGCAAGUCGGGUGUGAAAUCCCCAGGCUCAACCUGGGAACUGCGUCCGAUACUGGAUGGCUUGAAUCCGGGAGAGGGAUGCAGAAUUCCAGGUGUAGCGGUGAAAUGCGUAGAUAUCUGGAGGAACACCGGUGGCGAAGGCGGCAUUCUGGACCGAAACUGACGCUGAGGCGCGAAAGCCAGGGGAGCAAACGGGG
rnacentral:rRNA from 1 species